ACAGCUGUUGGCAUGCUAGGCUAAGGUGGGUUAGCAUGCUAGGCUAAGCUGGGUUAGCAUGCUAGGCUAAGGUGGGUUAGCAUGCUAGGCUAAAGUGGGUUAGCAUGCUAGGCUAAGGUGGGUACAGCUGUUGGCAUGCUAGGAUAAGGUGGGUUAGCAUGCUAGGAUAAGGUGGGUUAGCAUGCUAGGAUAAGGUGGGUUAGCAUUCUAGGAUAAGGUGGGUGCAGCUGUUUGCAUGCUUGGCUAAGGUGGGUACAGCCGUUGAAGAAUAAAGUGGGUGUUGGCAGCGUAGGAUGACUCGGGUGUUUGUUAGCUAAACAGCGCCACAUACAUCCUGCAUCAUUGGUAGCCUCGGCGACAAACACACGUCCACCCUUUUGCCAACGAGGGUCUGUGUCUUAACGAGGCGUU